AGCGAACGCUGGCGGCAGGCCUAACACAUGCAAGUCGAACGAACUCUUCGGAGUUAGUGGCGGACGGGUGAGUAACACGUGGGAACGUGCCUUUUGGUUCGGAAUAACUCAGGGAAACUUGUGCUAAUACCGAAUGUGCCCUUCGGGGGAAAGAUUUAUCGCCAUUAGAGCGGCCCGCGUCUGAUUAGCCAGUUGGUGAGGUAACGGCGCACCAAGGCGACGAUCAGUAGCUGGGCUUGGAGGAUGACCCGCCACACUGGGACUGAGACACGGCCCAGAAUACUACCGGAGGGAGGCAUGGGGAAUCCUGGCCAAUGGGGGGAAGGCUGAAGGAACCAUGCCGGGUGAAUGAUUAAGGUCUUAGGAUUGUAAAAUUCUUUCACCGGGGACGAUAAUGACGGUACCCGGAGAAGAAGCCCCGGCUAACUUCGUG
rnacentral:rRNA from 1 species